CCUCAAUUUUGGGAUCUCCCCAUUUUUGGGGUCCCCCCUUAAUUUUGGGGUCUGUCCCCAUUGCUCCCCCCCCUCAAUUUUGGGGUUCCCUCCCCCAAUUUUGGGGUUCCCCUCCUCAAUUUUGGGGUCUCCCCGUUUUUGGGGUCUCCCCAAUUUUGGGGUCCCUGAACACAACGCUUGGAGGGGUCCCCCCCAAAAUUUUGGGGGGGUGUUCCCCAAUAAUGCCCUGGGGGGGGUCCCCAAAAUCCUGGGGGGUCCCCAAUGAUGUCCCGGAGGUCCCAGAUUUCGGGGUCCCCCCCAUUUUUGGGGUCUCACUCCCCAUUUUUGGGGUCCUCGAUGAUGUCCUGGGGGGUCCUUGAUAUCCUGGGGGUCCCAGAUUUUGGGGUCCCCCCCAUUUUCGGGGUCCUCGAUGUCCAGGGGGGUCCUCAAUGAUGUCCCAGAGGUCCCAGAUUUUGGGGUCCCCCCCAUUUUUGGGCUCCCAGAUUUUGGGAUCCCCCAUUUUUGGGGUCUCUCUCCCCAUUUUUGGGGUCCUCGAUGUCCUGGAGGUCCCAGAUUUCGGGGUCCCCCCCAAUUUUUGGGGUCCUCGACGUCCUGGGGGAUCUCCAAUGACAUCCUGGGGGUCGCAGAUUUUGGGGUCCCCCCCAUUUUCAGGGUCCCAGAUUUUGGGGUCCCCCCAUUUUGGGUCCCGUUUUUGGGGGGUGCCCUCCCCGUUUUUGGGGGGGGUCCCUGCGUUUUUGGGGGUUUCCGGGGUCAGCAGCACCUCCAGGAACAGCGGGGGCCGCGUUGGGGGGGACCCGGGGAGGUGGGUUGCAUGGCGGCCGGGUGCAGCAGCGCCACCCGGGGGGGGGGGCGGGGACCCCGCACUGGUAACGGGGGAAGUGCCACCCCCCGGCCUGCGGGAGAGAGGGAGAGACCAGUUAGAACCAGUUAGAACCAGUAUAAACCAGUUAAAACCAGUAUGGACCAGUAUGAACCAGUAUGAGCCAGUAUGGACCAGUAACACACCCCCAGUGCCACCCCCCGGCCUGUGGGAGAGACACACACACCAGUUAGAACCAGUAUAGACCAGUAUAAACCAGUAUAAACCAGUAUAAACCAGUUAAAACCAGUAUAAACCAGUAUAGACCAGUAUGGACCAGUAUGAGCCAGUGUGGACCAGUAACACAUCCCCCCCCCGGUAACGGGGGAAGUGCCACCCCCCGGCCUGUGGGAGAGACACAGGGACCAGUUAGAACCAGUAUAGACCAGUUAAAACCAGUAUAAACCAGUUAAAACCAGAUAAAACCAGUAUAAACCAGUAUGGACCAGUAUAGACCAGUAUAGACCAAUAUCAACCAAUAUAGACCAGUAUAGACCAGUAACACACCCCUCACUCUGCAGGAAAGAGACACCAGUUAAAACCAAUAUGGACCAGUUAAAACCAGUAUAAACCAGUUAAAAGCAGUAUAAACCACUAUGGACCAGUAUAAACCAGUAUAAACCAGUAUGGACCAGUAUAGACCAGUAACACACCCUCAGUGCCACCCCCCGGCCUGUGGGAGAGACACACACACCAGUUAGAACCAGUAUAGACCAGUAUAAACCAGUAUAAACCAGUUAAAACCAGAAGAGACCAGUAUAAACCAAUAUGGACCAGUACGGACCAGUAUAGACCAGUAACACAUCCCCCCCCCGGUAACGGGGGAAGUGCCACCCCCCGGCCUGUGGGAGAGACACAGGGACCAGUUAGAACCAGUUAAAACCAGUAUAAAACAGUAUAAACCAGUUAAAACCAGAUAAAACCAGUAUAAACCAGUAUAGACCAGUAUGGACCACUAUGAGCCAGUAUGGACCAGUAACACACCCCCAGUGCCACCCCCCGGCCUGUGGGAGGGACACACACACCAGUUAGAACCAGUAUAGACCAGUAUAAACCAGUAUAAACCAAUAUAAACCAGUAUAAACCAGUUAAAACCAGUAUAGACCAGUAUGAACCAGUAUGAGCCAGUAUAGACCAGUAACACAUCCCCCCCCCGGUAACGGGGGAAGUGCCACCCCCCGGCCUGUGGGAGAGACACAGGGACC
rnacentral:lncRNA from 1 species